AGCGAUGGCGAACGUUUGAUGUAUCGCGCAACAAUAUUUUUGUAAAGCAAACGGAAGAAAGUCUUAAUGGCUUUUUGCAGUUGUUGUGUCUAUUUUGCUGCCAAGUUCAGCUUACCGAAAUCCUUUCCCACUAUAAAAAUCGAUAAUAAUGUACUAGUAGUCCUAUACCCAGUAAACUAUGUGACCUCGUGAUAUUCCAUAUGUGCCCCCAUUCGAUCAGUAGCACACCAGAAGAAAAAAGCUUCCUGUUUGAAAACUCGUGUGUUGCCAAAACGCUUGACAUUUAUUUACAAAUAGAGUAAGGUUCAAUGCUGGUAUGGAAUGCAGGAAAAACAUGAUAGUCAAUUGAUAUGAGAAAUCUUGGUUGCAACCUCGCAGCAUGAUUGCACAAGAACAUACCCAGUAAUGAUAUCGACACAUGUGGUGCUGUGGUAUGCACAUUUUUCUAUCCAUAGAUAAUGUAAUAAAUAUUUUCCUUACAGUGACAAGAAGGCAAGACUUGUGUAUGUCAAAAGAGAAGAAAACGUCUCAUUACCGGCAAUCGGUUCCAUGCAUAGAAAUGGAGCUUCAAGCAAAUUGUUCCAAGAUGAUUUAACCGUCCGUUUCAUUAAGCCCUCCAUGUGUCGCCUCCCGCUGUUCAUACACAGUGUGCACGUGCCUUCUCGAUUUUCACCGACAAUAGGGGCGGUCCAUGGGUCAGGGGAAGAAGAAAAUAAAGGGACCCAGCACUACUAAUACGCCGCCAAUGGUGCUGGAAUGCAUUUUAUUUUUCUUCCUUUUUCCGCCACUCUCUCAACAGAAAUCAUCCCCUUUUCUUUCAGGUCUCUCUCUCUCUCUGAAGAAAAUGUUUCGAAUUUUUUUUUUCUCUUGGAAAUGAGAACCAGCACUCUACAGAGAGAGCACCACGUUCUUCUCUUUUUCUAUGGCGACCCCGAACAUAGGCCCCCAGUUGUUCCCUGCACAUGUUGGGGUCAUUACGACAUAAUGGCUUUCUCUCUAACUUGUAUCGUCCGUCUCCCUUUUGGAGUAGUCAAUGCUAGUGUAUCUUGUAUGUGUGCAGUGUCAUGCUGCCGAGUCAUCGGACGUGUCCGUAGAACUAGA